rnacentral:rRNA from 1 species
GACGAACGCUGGCGGCGUGCUUAACACAUGCAAGUCGAGCGGUAAGGCCCUUUCGGGGGUACACGAGCGGCGAACGGGUGAGUAACACGUGGGUGACCUGCCCUCAGCUCUGGGAUAAGCCUGGGAAACCGGGUCUAAUACCGGAUAUGACUCCAUGACGCAUGUUGUGGGGUGGAAAGCCUUGUGCGGCUGAGGAUGGGCCCG